rnacentral:rRNA from 1 species
GACGAACGCUGGCGGCGUGCCUAAUACAUGCAAGUCGAACGCUUCUUUUUCCACCGGAGCUUGCUCCACCGGAAAAAGAGGAGUGGCGAACGGGCGAGUAACACGUGGGUAACCUGCCCAUCAGAAGGGGAUAACACUUGGAAACAGGUGCUAAUACCGUAUAACAAUCGAAACCGCAUGGUUUUGAUUUGAAAGGCGCUUUCGGGUGUCGCUGAUGGAUGGACCCGCGGUGCAUUAGCUAGUUGGUGAGGUAACGGCUCACCAAGGCACGAUGCAUAGCCGACCUGAGAGGGUGAUCGGCCACAUUGGGACUGAGACACGGCCCAAACUCCUACGGGAGGCAGCAGUAGGGAAUCUUCGGCAAUGGACGAAAGUCUGACCGAGCAACGCCGCGUGAGUGAAGAAGGUUUUCGGAUCGUAAAACUCUGUUGUUAGAGAAGAACAAGGAUGAGAGUAACUGUUCAUCCCUUGACGGUAUCUAACCAGAAAGCCACGGCUAACUACGUGCCAGCCGCCGCCGUAA